rnacentral:rRNA from 1 species
CCUACGGGUGGCUGCAGUGGGGAAUAUUGCACAAUGGGCGAAAGCCUGAUGCAGCAACGCCGCGUGGAGGACGAAGGCCUUCGGGUUGUAAACUCCUUUGAUGAGGGACGAAUAAAUGACGGUACCUCAAAAACAAGCCACGGCUAACUACGUGCCAGCAGCCGCGGUAAUACGUAGGUGGCAAGCGUUGUCCGGAAUUAUUGGGCGUAAAGGGCGCGUAGGCGGUUGCCUAAGUCAGAUGUGAAAACCCCGGGCUUAACCUGGGACCUGCAUUU